AACGCACGAGACCUGCGGACCUGCGGAAGGAUCAUUAAUGAGAAGCUGCCCCUCGUGGGUAGACCUCCCACCCUCUGUGAACUUACCUUUGUUGCUUUGGCAGGCCCGUCCUCUGGACCGCCGGCUUCGGCUGGCCCGUGCCUGCCAGAGGAUUCCAAACCCUGUCUGUUAGUGUUGUCUGAGUCUAUAUGAAAUCGUUAAAACUUUUAGCAACGGAUCUCUAGAUCGGAAGAGCACACG
rnacentral:misc_RNA from 1 species